UCAAACAAACCAAAUGGCGUGGUGAUCGC
rnacentral:piRNA from 1 species